UUCAUAUUCAUGGGUGUGUUCGCUGUGAAUAUGCUUUGAAAUGAUAGAUCAAUGCCUGAAUCUCUUCCUUUAGGCUAUGACUUUUUAAAAAAAGAAUGCAACAUAUUUUUGUGAUUUCAUUUCCUUUUGUUUUUUUUUUUCUUUCAUACAGCACGUAAGAUAAAAACAGUAUAAGAAAGAUAGCCCUACCCAGGCUAGAGAUAAAAGGCAUAAACAGCUGAUAUCUGUAUACAGCCAACUGGACAUUUGUUCUCACCCUGACCUGACUGAUACUCUCUUGUCCAAUAUAGAGGGGAAAGGAAGUGGCACCUUUAGAUGCCAAAGCAAAGGAACCUAAGGCCAAGAGUUUCUCAAUGGACACUAUAGCUAAGCAUGAUUUGAACUGCUGGCAUUGUCCCAACACUGCAACAACAAAGCUGUCUGGAGGAGCUGCUAAACCAUCCUUUCAGUCCAACAAGGCAUGCUUUUAUUGGACAUAGUUCUUUCCCUUCAGAAUGAACAUUUCUAUCAGCAAAGCAUAUGAGCCAACAGAUUUGCAGAAUCCAACAUAAACAUAUCACAACUGUUUGUUAAGAACCCACAACAGCCUACAUCCAAACUAAGUCAAAGAAAUCAUAAAGUAUCUGGCUGGAAAGCAGAGCAAUCAAAAAGAAAGAGAAGGAUAUGUGAAGACUAGAAAGAGAUUAUGAAGAAAUUAAACAGAUUUCAUGUGACAUUUAAGGGGGCAGUUUUCACUCCACCUUAUAACAGAAUAACAGAGUUGGAAGGGAUCUUGGAGGUCUUCUAAUCCAACCCCCCCUGCUCAGGCAGGAAACCCUAUACCAUUUCAGACAAAUGGGUGUUCAUUUGCCUUUCUUCUUAAGAAAGUUCAACUCAUCACUCCACAGUUUGAUUUGCAUGCUUGGCAGAAAACUGCAUCUGAUUUUGAGGGAGGAAGAUCAAGCAUAGUGAGGCUCAAGAAAAUCAUCAUAGAAUUGGUCUGGAAGACUUUUAAAACUCAUCAUUCUUUGAACAGACAAUGCUGCCUUGAGAAUAUUCUACUGUAUACUGAAGAAGAAAUUUGUCAUGUCUUAUAGUUCACCUCUAGUCCUCCUUAAAGCAAGUUCUUCACUGGGAGCUAUCCACAGUGCUGCAACCACCAUCCUUCUUGCCUUGUGGAUGCCAGUUACACACAGAAUAUAACAAGAGGUAGAUGACCAUAUCUUUGAAUACCCCAUGCGCGUGCAAACAGAGAUACACACUUUAAGUUUUCUUCCUGCAAAUAGAAAUAGUACAGUUAGGAUUGCUGGGUAAAGCCUUGGUCCCUGAUGUGUUACUUUACUAUGUCCAGAGUGCUUUUAUUUCAAUAUUUAUCUACAGCGCUUAUAAUUCUGAAACACAUGUUGUGGAAAAAAAUAUUGCUUAGUGAAUUUGAAAUGGACUAAAGUUGUUCUUCAAAACAACAAUUUGACCCAUGUAUGCCCAGCCAAUUUGAUCUUGCUGAGAAAAUCAGCUGGAAGCAGGGCAAAGUAUGGUGUUGCUGCUUUUACACAGCAAUUGAAAUAGAUUCCUACUGGAACUUAAGUUAGCUCCUAUUGAAGCUGCUUUCUGGAAGUAAUUAAAAACAAACCUGUUUCAGAAGAUGCUCAAUUAUCUUCAAAUUGACAGUGGAUACUUUAGAACAGAAGUUUAUUCCUGCCAAGAGUCCUAUGGGAUGGUUGGGGGUGAGGAAUCUGUAGAAAUAAUAAUAGAAUAGAAUAGAAUAGAAU